CACGUAGGGGGCAGCGUGUCCGGAUUCGAUUUGGUGCGUAAAGAGCUCGUAGGUGGUUCGGUAAGUCGGUGUGAAACUCUGGCUCAACCAGAGCGCCACCCGAUAACUGCCGUGACUUGAGUCGGUAGGGGAGUGGUGGAAUUCCUGGUGUAGCGGUGGAAAUGCGCAGAUAUCAGGAGGAACACCAGUGGCGAAGGCGGCACUCUGGGCCGGUACUGACGCUGAGGAGCGAAAGCGUGGGGAGCGAACAGG
rnacentral:rRNA from 1 species